rnacentral:rRNA from 1 species
GAUGAACGCUGGCGGCGUGCCUAAUACAUGCAAGUCGAGCGAACGGACGAGAAGCUUGCUUCUCUGAUGUUAGCGGCGGACGGGUGAGUAACACGUGGAUAACCUACCUAUAAGACUGGGAUAACUUCGGGAAACCGGAGCUAAUACCGGAUAAUAUUUUGAACCGCAUGGUUCAAAAGUGAAAGACGGUCUUGCUGUCACUUAUAGAUGGAUCCGCGCUGCAUUAGCUAGUUGGUAAGGUAACGGCUUACCAAGGCAACGAUGCAUAGCCGACCUGAGAGGGUGAUCGGCCACACUAGAACUGAGACACGGUCCAGAGUCCUAAGGGAGGGAGCAGUAGGGAAUCUUGCGCAAUGGGCGAAAGCCUGACGGAGCAACGCCGCGUGGGUGAUGAAGGUCUUCGGAUCGUAAAACUCUGUUAUUAGGGAAGAACAUAUGUGUAAGUAAAUGUGCACAUCUUGACGGUACCUAAUCAGAAAGCCACGGCUAACUACGUG